GCACACCGCCGGCCCCGAAAUACAGUGGCGGCCCGUCCGCGGCGACCUCUGCGUAGUACUCCAACGCGCACCGGGAACCCGACGCGGCCACGCCGUAAAACACCCCACUUCUGAACGUUGACCUCGGAUCAGGUAGGACU
rnacentral:rRNA from 1 species